rfam:Triticum aestivum genome assembly, contig: Triticum_aestivum_CS42_TGACv1_scaffold_289407_4AL
GAUCUACUCCCUGUUCCGAAUUACUUGUCUUGGAUUUGUCUAGAUACGGAUGUAUCUAGACUCAUUUUAGUGCUAGAUACCUCCGUAUCUAGACAAAUCCAAGACAAGUAAUUCAGAACGGAGGGAGUAGUAG